ACAAAGGCUCUUUUCAGAGCCACUUACACUUUCAGAAAAAGCUGG
rfam:Myotis brandtii contig218998, whole genome shotgun sequence.